GGGGCUGACUGGCUUUGACAGCGUGACGAAGGGGUAAGUAAGCAUGUAGUGAGUUGUUGUUCCCUCACUUUAAUAUCAGACUUCAAAAUUUUUAGUUGGCGAAAAUAAUUACGCUCUCGCUGCCUAACCGAAGAAUAGUAAGUUAGCUUCAUCCUUGAGCCGAUAGGCUCGGACGAGACGUCACCCGAAACUCUUGCUCCGAAGUUACUCGAGUUAGGUGAUGCACAAAUAUCGGAGCUUGGGGCUGCUAGGUCUAUGGGGUAGCAUUCCAAUAUUUCAUAGGCUAAGGGAUGGUUGUUGGUUGCUCUGUCCGUGCAACGAUCCCCGACAAUUCCAAUCAGAGAUAAACAUGUAGAAAGCGUAUUCAUUCCACGUUUGGACGAGGGUUCAAUCCCCUCCAGCUCCACUU
rfam:Porphyromonas endodontalis ATCC 35406 contig00113, whole genome shotgun sequence.